GUGGGAAACACAAAUUUUGGAUGUUACAGCUUGUGUAUCUCACUUCUCAUCGUGUCAGAGAAUCACAAACUCAUCUAGGCAUGAGGGAUGCCUCCUGAGACAGAAGUUUCCUCCUUGGUGUCAGAGAAGCCCUACAAGAAACUCAGAAAUCCGCAUGAAGACAGAUGCACCACUCCUUCAUCUCAUCAAUUAAAUGCCAAUAACGCUGCAUGAUGCUGAUUGCUGACUUCUCUCUUUUUUGGAAGAAAAACCAGAUUCACUACGUGAAAGGACUAACAAAGGACAGAAGCCCAUUUUAACCACAACCUCUCUUCCACACUUCUGCGGCCCUGGGAAUUUCAAAGGCUUUAUUUAGCAUUUCUUUGAGACAGAUAAAUAUUACCACAAAGUGGUGACUAGAAUUUUCAUUUUAUAGGAAAUUUCACUGUUUCAAUAUUUUCAUUUUGAAGUGGAGCAAAAUGGCACAGGAAAGUUCCCAUGAAAAAUAACUGAGGAAAAGGCUGGGUGGAAGGCAGCUCAAAUAAAAUGGUUCAAUUUUUCUUCUCUUCCCCCCUC
rnacentral:lncRNA from 1 species